rnacentral:lncRNA from 1 species
CAAUUUAACAUUUAGUAUCAAUUCUAGCAGGUUAAGAUCCCUUGGAUUAAGGAGGGUGAGUCCUUCCUACUCCCCCCACCAGCCCCUCCACUCCCGCUUUCUUUUCAGUCUGGAUCUUAAAAUUCCCUUUCUUUAGCAUUCUCAGGGGCCAGUAUUUCUUGCCUGGGUUCUGCUUGAAUUAAUCCCAUGUGUCCAGCCACGGAGGAGCGGGGGCCUUCUCUAGCUUCAAGCUCCCUCUGGCUUGAAGCUCCAGUCCAGUUUUUCAGGCAGCUGAAUAUUCCAGCGGGAUUUGUCAAACUUCUGUCUCAUCUGUGCCUAGUUAUUACGGAGGGGCCAGACUGCAAGAGUCUCUGCAGAUUCUGGACGAGGUGGCACAGCUUUGGAUGAGACUAGGGAGACAGGCGUUGUCUGGUUUUGUUAAAUUCCAGAAGCAAGUCACUUUGCCAAAAUUGCCAAAAAUAAAAGGACUGUCUAGACACUUACAUAUUAGGAGCUCUCCUCUGAAGAGAGACCAUCCUGAAGAUCAUUGAUUCAUGCCUCGAUGAACUGGCCUCCUGGAGAGAAGCAUAUUUUGAGGAGCAAGAGCGGAAGUGGAGGCCACGCCGAUGAGGGGUCCAGGGGAGUGGGGCGAUGGUGGCUCGCACCUCUUGGGGGCGCUGCAGACGGAGCGAGGAGGACUGUUUUCCAGAAUGUUAAUCUCCUUGGCAGGCGGACGAAAGGAACGAAAAGGAGAGCUGAUACGUAUUAAGUGCCAACUGCAUACCUCAGUCUCAGGUGAUACAUUCACACAGGAAAUUUUCCCAUUCUUGUCCUCAUCUGCAGAGACACCCACUCCCCAUGCUAUAGGUAA